GACAGAGGUGCCGAGCGUUAGGCGGAAUCACUGGGCUUAAGGCGUGUGUAGGCGGACUUCUAAGUACCUUGUGAAAUCCCAUGGCUCAACCCUGGAAUGCCGAUGGAUACUGCGGAGCUAGAGUCCGGAAGAGGCGAGUGGAAUUCCUGGUGUAGCGGUGAAAUGCGCAGAUAUCAGGAGGAACACCAAUGGCGAAGGCAGCUCGCUGGGACGGUACUGACGCUGAGACGCGAAAGCGUGGGGAGCAAACAGG
rnacentral:rRNA from 1 species